rnacentral:siRNA from 1 species
UGUGGAGACGUCGCUGCC